GGACUCUGAAGCAAGUUAGGAUAGGUUUAAGUCCAACAGGAAGAGAGCGCAAACAUUCCAGGGUUCAUUCCUCCCAGGGGACUAUCCUGAGCACCCCUCCCAGCAGGCACUGCGGCCCUGACGGGCUGUCCCCGCUCCAGCCCACAGUCGUGAGGGAGGUGGACACAUGAACGGACCCUGGCCGGGGGAGGAAGAGGAGGCCGGCGGCUCAGCCAGGACUGGAAAGGCCUUCCGGAUGCCAGGGUUGAGAGCAGCCCACCUGACUCAGCCCGUGCCACCUGCCAAGAGUGUUGUGAUGAGGAGCGUAACCCAGCUCAGCCGGACACUGAACCAGUUGUUACAAAUGAAAGACCAGGAGGCUCCAUCUCCCGGGAAGAGGGAGGCCAGACCAAUUUACACGGGAACCUGGCUUGAGUCUGAGUUCUGGGGUCAGGACCCUUAUCCUGCCCCACCUGGAGGCUUGCAGGACUGGAAGUACUUGCGGUUUGGGGCCACAACCUGGGGUGCGUGGUUUGGGGGUGGCGUUAGGCUAGAGGGGGAGGCUGGUCUGGUAAACUCCGUCAGCAGAGUUUGGAUUUGGACCCGAGGGCGAUGGGAAACCAGAUCCGAGCCUUAAACUAGGGGGUGACAGAUCAGAGCUAGGGUUUUAGAAGUUCUUCCAGGGGCUGGCCCCGUGGCCGAGUGGUUAAGUUCGCGCGCUCCGCUGCAGGCGGCCCAGUGUUUCGUUGGUUCGAAUCCUGGGCGUGGACAUGGCACUGCUCAUCAAACCACGUUGCGGCGGCAGCCCACAUGCCACAACUAGAAGGACCCACACGAAGAAUAUACAACUAUGUACUGGGGGGCUUUGGGGAGAAAAAGGAAAAAUAAAAUCUUUAAAAAAAAAAAAGAAGUUCUUCCAACUGUGCUUUGGAGAAGUUUG
rnacentral:lncRNA from 1 species